rnacentral:rRNA from 1 species
ACGGGGCUCACACAAGCGGUGGAGCAUGUGGAUUAAUUCGAAGCAACGCGCAGAACCUUACCUGGGUUUGACAUGCUUGGAUGCCUUCCUGGAACAGGGUAGGUUGCCCUUCGGGGUGAAACUUGCACAGGUGCUGCAUGGCUGUCGUCAGCUCGUGUCGUGAGAUGUCGGGUUAAGUCCUUUAACGAGCGAAACCCUUACCGUUAGUUGCCAUCAGGUUAUGCUGGGAACUCUAACGGGACUGCCGGUGUUAAACCGGAGGAAGGUGGGGAUGACGUCAAGUCCUCAUGGCCUUUAUGCCCAGGGCUUCACACGUGCUACAAUGGCAACUACAGAGCGACGCGAGACCGCGAGGUGGAGCAAAUCGCAAAAAAGUUGCCCCAGUUCAGAUUGCAGGCUGCAACUCGCCUGCAUGAAGUUGGAGUUGCUAGUAAACGCAGGUCAGCCAUACUGCGUUGAAUACGUUCCCGGGGCUU